GAAGCCGGCGCGCGGAGAGCGCAGGGCGAGCGCGCGUCGGGCGGCGGCCGCGCUGGGGGGCGUGGGGCGAGCCGGCGCGAGGAGCGGCGGGGGCGAAACUUCGCGGCCAGAUGCCUGACGGCGCGGCGGCGCUGCGAGGCUGCCGCUGCUGCCCCUGCGGGCCCCGGGCGCGUCUCCGCGGGCGGCGCUGCCCGCGGCGCGGCGUGUGCACCGAGCGAGUGAAGGUAUGUUUGGCGGGCGCGGCUGGAGCUGCUGCCGCCGCCGCCGCGCCAGCAGGUCCUAAUGCCUGUCACUUCCCAGGACACUGGCAGCAGCAGCCCGGAGCCCCCGAGCCCUCGGCAGGUUUGCCUGUCCUUCCCCGCGAUCUGAUUGGAUAAAGUGGGGGCUCGACGGUGGCCGACGUGGGACAGUCUGGCUGUGGCAGGGGUCUCGGAAACCAUGGGUUAUUGCAGUGGCAGGUGCACGCUUAUCUUUAUCUGUGGCAUGCAACUGGUUUGUGUGCUGGAGAGGCAAAUAUUUGACUUCCUUGGAUAUCAGUGGGCACCUAUCCUGGCAAAUUUUGUACAUAUUAUUAUCGUCAUUCUUGGUUUAUUUGGGACUAUUCAAUAUAGACCUCGUUACAUAACAGGAUAUGCUGUCUGGCUAGUCCUCUGGGUUACCUGGAAUGUGUUUGUUAUCUGCUUCUAUUUGGAGGCUGGGGACCUCUCAAAGGAAACAGACCUUAUCCUGACUUUUAAUAUUUCAAUGCACCGAUCUUGGUGGAUGGAGAAUGGACCAGGAUGUACGGUGACAUCAGUGACACCCGCACCAGACUGGGCCCCAGAAGACCAUCGCUACAUCACGGUCUCAGGGUGUUUUCUGGAGUACCAGUACAUAGAAGUGGCUCAUAGUUCCCUCCAGAUUGUCCUCGCACUGGCAGGGUUCAUCUACGCCUGUUAUGUUGUGAAAUGUAUAACUGAAGAAGAGGACAGCUUUGAUUUCAUAGGUGGCUUUGAUUCUUAUGGCUAUCAAGGGCCUCAGAAGACAUCUCAUUUACAACUACAGCCUAUGUACAUGCAAAUUCCCUUGGAUAACAACUGAUAACAAAUUCUAUAUAUCAGCAUCAAGUGAUAUGCUGAAUUGCAAGCGAAGAUCAAAAUAGAAAGUCAAAAUAAUACAGAUGGCCUCAGUAUGUCAGCUCCUGGACCUUUCAAAGAACUUGUUUUGCAGUGGCCUCCUGCAUUUUAUGAAGAGCAAGAAGCAACUGAGUUUAAAUAUAUAUACAUGUUAACAGAACAAACAUAAAGCCUCUACAUACACUGAGACACACACACACACACACGCACGCACGCACACACACACAGAGGCACAUACUAAUUCCUCUUGGCCUCCUCUUUCUAACUGAAACAAAUAUGCAGGACACUCCCAUCUUGGAUUUCCUGAAAGUAGGCUUCUUUCUCCCAGGCCUUUGGAAAGUUCAUAAGGAGAUGUGUUGGUGCCCUCUGCUGGCCGUCACUAACUACUCUGCAGCCCAGCCAGUCGGCCUCUGUGAGCUGCAAAGUCAUCCAGGGCACAUUAGUUUGACAGCCCUGUCUUCUGCACUCCAUACGUCUUGAUAGCACCACGGCUACGUAGGCAAUGUAAUUGCAAAAACAAACAAAACAUGCCAUGAUGACCUUGUAACCGAAGUCCGAAAUGGCAGGUUGCCCUAAAGGCUAUACCGUACAUACUUGCCUUAACCCACCUAAGUUGUGCGCCCGAGUCUCAGUGCAGACCUCCCCAAGUCACUUCCUUUAGGCUAACACACUGCUAUUAAUUCCGAACGAGUUUGAGUCUGUGUGUUUCACGUCAAGAAACAGGACUGCAUAGCUCAGCAGCUCAGUGUGUCUGUGUACAAAAACUGCCAGCUGUCAGCAAAGUGCUUUAUCAUUGAACCUCCAUGGUGGCCAAAAACAGACAAGUGACAAUAACAACAACAACAAUAAUCAUGUUCUUUAUAAUUCUUAAAUAUGGUCUUCUGAAGGGGUUGGGUGGGACAAAGUAAAAUUUAUUAAUCUACUAAACUCAUAAUCUACUGGAAGCAGAGAACAGAAAUGGCUUAACUCACUGAUUUUAUUUACUGCACUCUAGGUGCUUUUAUAAGUAUCUACAAAUGUCUUUUACUAACACAGAAACAGCUGUGGAUUUCUAUCAACAGAGGCCAACUGAAUAUGUAUUAGCUAUGUUUACUCUUUUAUAUCUAAUUCAAAUGGAAGACCCUACGUAGGUGAACUUUUUUUCCUAACUUCAGCGUACGAGAUUAUUUUUUGGGUGGGCGGGGGGAGCAAUAGUUACCUUGGUGAAAUAUUUGAGAUCUCUUUGUGGUAUUUGGGGGAUCUGUUGUGUGUUAGAGUGUAUUUUAAUCCUCCUGUAUUAUUGUGGCAGAAAAACUGUGCUGUUAACGUAGUUGGCAACAAGAUGCCUUUGGAAACUUAAUAGUAGGUCAAUGUGUUUAUGGAAUAUUCUGAAUUCCUAGGAAAUUUUGUUCUAUAUACUCAAGCAUUAUUUGGUUUUCAUUAGUGGGAAACAUAAUUAGCUCAGGCUUAUCAGGAACUCCGAAGAGUCAUGUUUUUUCUUGGAUCCACCUGAGAUGCUAAAAUCAAUUUUUUUAAAACUAAUACAACAUCCUUCAGUGCAGUGAAAUUGAGACUUGAAAAGUUACAAAUUGGCAUGGAGCAAUGUUUUCUCUCUUGGUUUCUAUGUAGUUUCCUCAGUUAUUGGGUUAACCUACUUUGGACCUUAGCCCAUCCAGAUCUACAUAAACCAGCCCCAUUACUGUGUUUGCAUGGAUGUCUGUGAAAUACACACAUAUACAUUCAAAAACGAUAAAGGAACAAAGGUUAUAUUGGAACAUAAAC